rnacentral:rRNA from 1 species
UACGAAGGGGGCUAGCGUUGCUCGGAAUUACUGGGCGUAAAGGGCGCGUAGGCGGACAGUUUAGUCAGAGGUGAAAGCCCAGGGCUCAACCUUGGAAAUGCCUUUGAUACUGGCUGUCUUGAGUUCGGGAGAGGUGUGUGGAACGCCCGAGUGUAGAGGUGAAAUUCGUAGAUAUUCGGCAGAACACCAGUGGCGAAGGCGACACACUGGCCCGAUACUGACGCUGAGGC